rnacentral:snRNA from 1 species
AUUUGUUCGAGCGGCCUUUUGACUAAGAUCAAAGUGUAACACCUUUUCUUAUCAUCUUGAUAUUUGAUUCUAUCCCUAAUUGAGGUCAUCGGUAUUAAAUUGAAUUUUAGAACGAGGCGAAGAGUCUUUGCUCUGGUUUGGUCUGGCAUUCGAGUGGUUUUGUGAUUCAACCCAUAUUUU